GUUAACCGAAACUUCUUACGCCUUAUUUUUGUGAUGUACAAUCCGCAUUUUUGACUUCAACGACUUCAAAAUCUCCACAAGUGACGGUAUAGCCGGAUAUUGUGAAGUCCAGAUAUUAUACUACAACCGAAUGAUACACAAAUAUCAUAUUUAUGGUCAUGAUUGACAUACGAGACAUUGAUUUGCCUUACAGUACAGAAAAGCGCAAAGUAAACUUUGACAUAAAACAGUUGACUAAAAAUAUUACUGGCUUCCGACAGACCAACAUCUUUAGUAGGUACUUAUUCAUUUGUAAGGACUGUCAACAUACAAAUAUGUUCAAUGUAUGCGAAUAUGGGAGCAUACUGAUGCAGGUAGAUGAUAA
rnacentral:misc_RNA from 1 species